AUGGUCCCCUGGCUAAACCUGGUGUCCUUUUUAGUAGUCCUGCAAGGAGUUCAGUGUGAGGUCCAGUUGGUGGAGUCCGGAGGGGACGUGAGGAGGCCUGGAGAGUCCCUCCGUCUCUCCUGCCAAGCCUCCGGAUUCGACUUCGGGAGCUAUGAAAUGAGCUGGGUGAGACAGGCUCCCGGAAAAGGACUGGAAUGGGUGGCAUACAUACAUCCUUAUUCCAGUACUAUUACCUACUCGGAAAACGUCAAGGGACGCUUCACCACCACCAGGGACAACUCCAAAAGCCAACUCUAUCUGCAGAUGAACAGCCUGAAGACGGAGGACACGGCAGUCUAUUACUGUGCAAGAUACACAGUGGGAGGAAGUGAGUCUGAAGCCUGGCAAAAACUCUCUCUUCCUCAGAGCUCAGAGGCCCAGCUGGUGGAGUCCGGAGGGGAUGUGAGGAGGCCUGGAGAGUCCCUCCGCCUCUCCUGCCAAGCCUCUGGUUUCAACAUCAGCAGCUCUACUAUGUACUUUGUGAGACAGGCUCCAGGGAAAGGCCUGGAAUGGGUGUCCAGCAUAAGCUAUGGUUCCAGUUAUAUUUACUACUCGGACAAAGUCAAGGGACGCUUCACCAUCUCCAGGGACAACUCCAAAAGCCAAGUCUAUCUGCAAAUGAACAGCCUGAAGCCGGAGGACUCGGCAGUCUAUUACUGUGCAAGAGGA